AACGAACGCUGGCGGCAGGCCUAAAACAUGCAAGUCGAACGAUCUAGCAAUAGAUAGUGGCGCACGGGUGCGUAACACGUGGGAAUAACCCUGUAACUACGGAACAACGUCGGGAAACUGACGCUAAUACCGGAUAAUGUCUCGGGACGAAAGAUUUAUCGGUGAAAGAUUAGCCCGCGUCUGAUUAGCUAGUUGGUGAGGUAACGGCUCACCAAGGCAACGAUCAGUAGCUGGUCUGAGAGGAUGAUCAGCCACACUGGAACUGAGACACGGUCCAGACUCCUACGGGAGGCAGCAGUUAGGAAUAUUGGACAAUGGGGGCAACCCUGGUCCAGCCAUGCCGCGUGUGUGACGAAGGCCUUAGGGUUGUAAAGCACUUUCGUCUACGAAGAUAAUGACGGUAGUAGAAGAAGAAGCUCCGGCUAAAUUCGUGCCAGCCGCCGCCGUAA
rnacentral:rRNA from 1 species